rnacentral:rRNA from 1 species
GAUUAUGAAUGGCGCAUCUUACCCCCAUCUGGGAGGUCCGGUGGAAUCUUGCUAGGAAUCCAUUCCACGUACUUGGAACUUUUGUCCACGUCAAAGGGGUAAUAUCAUAUCAAAUUUCACCUUCGAAACAAGUCCGACAAUUUCCUUUGGAGCCUGGCGGUUGUAUAUGGCGCCGCUCAGGACGAGUUUAAGUCUGCUUUUCUAAAGGAACUUGUUAAUACCUGCUAAGACAAUCCCCAUCCAAUGUUAAUCAGGGGGGAUUUCAAUAUCCUUCGAUAUCAGCAGGAAGAAAACAAUGACCGGUUUGAUACUAGGUGGCCUUUCCUAUUUAAUUCUGUUAUUGACAGCCUAGAUCUGCGGGAGGUCACUAUGUCUGGCCGUCAGUAUACCUGGGACAAUAACCGACCAGUUGCAACUUUCGAAAAACUUGACCGGGUGCUGGUUACCACCGACUGGGAAUAUAAAUAG